AGCCUACUAGCUAGUCCCCCAAUCAAAAACAACUACCCACAUAAAUAACCCCUAAGACACGUAACGCAUGUUAAACAAAACAUUUUUCCCCUUUAGUAUGGGCGAUAGAAAAAGAACCCUGGAACAACAGAGAAAGUACCGCAAGGGAAUGCUGAAAAAGAAAUGAAACAACUCAGUUAAGCCCAAAAAAGCAGAGAUUUUAACUCGUACCUUUUGCAUCAUGAUUUAGCCAGAAAUUACCGAGCAAAGAGCACUUUAGUUCGAUCCCCCGAAGCUAAGUGAGCUACUCCAAGACAACCUAUACUAGGGUAAACCCGUCUCUGUUGCAAAAGAGUGGGAAGAGCUUCGAGUAGCGGUGACAGACCAAUCGAACUUAGUUAUAGCUGGUUGCCUGAGAACUGGAUAGAAGUUCAGCCUCCCGAAUUCUCCACUCACUGUAUUCCUAUACCCGCGUGACACUUAGAGAAGCCGAGAGAGUUAAUCAAAGGGGGUACAGCCCCUUCGAUACAAGAUACAACUUUUACAGGAGGAUAAAGAUCAUAAUUAAACAAGGCAAAGUGUUUUAGUGGGCCUAAAAGCAGCCACCUUAACAGAAAGCGUUAAAGCUCGAACACCCCUCCCCCGCCCCAUAUCCCGACAACCCAAUCUUACUCCCCUAACCCUACCAGGCCGCUCCAUGCAAACAUGGAAGAGAUUAUGCUAAUAUGAGUAACAAGAGAACAUUUGAUUCUCUCCUACCACAAGUGUAAAUCGGAACGGACCUACCGCCGAACUUUAACGACCCCAAACAAAGAGGGUACUGAAUAAUUAACCUAGACAUCUAGAAAAACACUCAACAAAUAUCGUUAACCCUACACUGGUGUGUCCACAAGGAAAGACUAAAAGAAAAAGAAGGAAUUCGGCAAACAUGGGCCUCGCCUGUUUACCAAAAACACCGCCUCUUGCAAAACCAACGAAUAAGAGGUCCCGCCUGCCCUGUGACUAUAUGUUCAACGGCCGCGGUAUUUUGACCGUGCGAAGGUAGCGUAAUCACUUGUCUUUUAAAUGGGGACCUGUAUGAAUGGCACAACGAGGGCUCGACUGUCUCCUUUUUCUGGUCAAUGAAAUUGAUCUUCCCGUGCAGAAGCGGGAAUAUUAACAUAAGACGAGAAGACCCUAUGGAGCUUUAGAUAACAAGGCAGACUGUGUUAAACACCCUUAUAAAAUAGGCCAAACUAGCUGAAAACUGCCCGAAUGUCUUUGGUUGGGGCGACCGCGGCGAAACAAAAAACCCCCGUGUAGAAAGAGGGAACCACCCUCCAAACCAAGAGCUCCCACUCUAAUAAACAGAAUAUCUGACCCAUAAGAUCCGGCAAUGCCGAUUAACGGACCGAGUUACCCUAGGGAUAACAGCGCAAUCCCCUUCUAGAGUUCAUAUCGACAAGGGGGCUUACGACCUCGAUGUUGGAUCAGGACAUCCUAAUGGUGCAGCCGCUAUUAAGGGUUCGUUUGUUCAACGAUUAAAGUCCUACGUGAUCUGAGUUCAGACCGGAGCAAUCCAGGUCAGUUUCUAUCUAUGACAUGAUCUUUCCUAGUACGAAAGGACCGCAAAGAAGAGGUCCAUGCCCCAAGUACACCUCACCCUAACCUGACGAAAACAACUAAAAAAGGCAAUAGGGCAUAUCCGUAUUCCACCCUGGCCAAGAAAAUGCUAU
rnacentral:rRNA from 1 species